ACAUUUAUUAGUGGUACAUCCUGCCCAGUGAAUUUUCAACGGCCGCGGUAUCCUGACCGUGCAAAGGUAGCAUAAUCACUUGCCUAUUAAUUGUAGGCUAGAAUGAACGGAUAAACGAGAAUAAAGCUGUCUCCUUUAAGCCCCUAAAACUUUAUAUUAGAGUGAAGAAGCUCUAAUUAAGACGCAGGACAAGAAGACCCUAUAGAGCUUUACCUUACUCACCUAACUUAUAGGUGCUACGGUUCGGUUGGGGCGACCAGGGGAUAUAAAACACCCCUAAAAUAUAAGAUUAACCAAUCUCAACAAUGAUCCUUAACUCAAGAUCAUCGAAUCAAGCUACCUUAGGGAUAACAGGCUAAUCCUCUUUUAGAGCCCUUAUCGACAAGAGGGAUUGGCACCUCGAUGUUGGCUUAGGAUUUCUCUGUGACGCAGCAGUCACAAUAGACGGUUUGUUCAACCAUUAAAUUCCU
rnacentral:rRNA from 1 species